rnacentral:rRNA from 1 species
UACGAAGGGGGCGAACGUUGUGCGGAAUCACUGGGCGUAAAGCGCACGCAGGCGGAUUGACAAGUCGGGGGUGAAAGCCCGGGGCUCAACCGUGGAAUUGCCUUCGAUACUGUCGGUCUCGAGGCCGGGAGAGGUGAGUGGAAUUCCUAGUGUAGAGGUGAAAUUCGUAGAUAUCAGGAAGAACACCAGUGGCGAAGGCGGCCCACUGGCCCGGUACUGACGCUCAGGUGCGAAAGCGUGGGGAGCAAACAGG